rnacentral:rRNA from 1 species
AGUGAACGCUGGCGGUAGGCCUAACACAUGCAAGUCGAACGGCAGCACAGUAAGAGCUUGCUCUUACGGGUGGCGAGUGGCGGACGGGUGAGGAAUACAUCGGAAUCUACUUUUUCGUGGGGGAUAACGUAGGGAAACUUACGCUAAUACCGCAUACGACCUACGGGUGAAAGCAGGGGAUCUUCGGACCUUGCGCGAUUGAAUGAGCCGAUGUCGGAUUAGCUAGUUGGCGGGGUAAAGGCCCACCAAGGCGACGAUCCGUAGCUGGUCUGAGAGGAUGAUCAGCCACACUGGAACUGAGACACGGUCCAGACUCCUACGGGAGGCAGCAGUGGGGAAUAUUGGACAAUGGGCGCAAGCCUGAUCCAGCCAUACCGCGUGGGUGAAGAAGGCCUUCGGGUUGUAAAGCCCUUUUGUUGGGAAAGAAAUCCAGCCGGCUAAUACCUGGUUGUGAUGACGGUACCCAAAGAAUAAGCACCGGCUAACUUCGUG